AAUUUACGCACUACGGUUUGCCUAACCAUGCAAACUUUUCCAAUAAAUUAAUUCGCAAAGGCAAAUACUUGUCAGUCACCUCACGCGCUGAUUGACUACCUCAACAAAUUAUAAAUAGAUUGAUCCUCCAGUGCCAAAAAAAUACUGAAAUUUCUUACAAAAAAUAGUUGACCUUAUACUCCCAAAAAUGGCAAUUAUCUAUGGUGUCGCUGUAUUUCAUGUGAUUGUUUGCUGCGCUGUGCUCGGAGCGAACGCGUACUACUACUCGGAAUACAAGAAACUUCCCCGCGAGGCUUUCGACGACUACUAUAAUCCCUUCGGUGGCUUGUGGAGAGAGUGGAGAAACUGGAACAUUGCAUUGUCGGCAUGGCGGUGGGGGGUUUGCAAUUGUUGUCGAUUGCGGCCUGGUAUCCACUCCUCAUGUCAAAACGAGAUGUUCCCAUGAGAGGCGUCCGCCUUCUGUUUGGAGGUGUCCAGUGUGUCUUCCUCUUCCUGGUUUUGCAAUCCACUUUCGUUCGCGGAGUUUCCUCAGUGAUGAAUUCCACGCACUGGUCGAUCCGCACCAGUUUGCACGGCGGCGCAGCCUUCAUCGCCUUCUACGGCGGACUAACCGUCAAAGUCGUCAACCUUGGGUGGAAAAAGCAACCCUUCGUUUUAACUCCGAUCGUGUAAAAUUACGCAAAAUGUGCACUUUAACAAAUUUAUUCGCAUACUGUAAUUCACCGUGAACUGUGACCGCUCUUUAGCACAUAUUUAUUCUUGUCAUGCACCUAUAAAUAUAUUUAUGUAUCUCACCGAAGGCUUUCGA